AAGUCGUAACAAGGUUUCCGUAGGUGAACCUGCGGAAGGAUCCAAUUGAUCCGUAAGGGCCUUGCGGAGCCCUGUCGAGAUAGAACCCUUGCCUUUAUGAGUACCGUCCGUUUCCUCGGCAGGCCCGCCUGCCGAUGGGCCCAAAACCAAACCCUUUAUUACCUGUAUCAGUCUGAAAAAUAAACAAAAAUUAAAA
rnacentral:misc_RNA from 1 species